rnacentral:rRNA from 1 species
UAAUACGGAGGGUGCAAGCGUUAAUCGGAAUUACUGGGCGUAAGGCGCGCGUAGGCGGUUUGUUAAGUCAGCUGUGAAAGCCCUGGGCUCAACCUGGGAACUGCAGUUGAUACUGGCCGACUAGAGUACGAGAGAGGGAGGUAGAAUUCCAUGUGUAGCGGUGAAAUGCGUAGAUAUAUGGAGGAAUACCAGUGGCGAAGGCGGCCUCCUGGCUCGAUACUGACGCUGAGGUGCGAAAGCGUGGGGAUCAAACAGGAUUAGAUACCCUGGUAGUCCACGCCGUAAACGAUGUCUACUAGCCGUUGGGAGACUUGAUUUCUUAGUGGCGCAGCUAACGCAAUAAGUAGACCGCCUGGGGAGUACGGCCGCAAGGUUA